GUCUUCGUAGCUCAGGUGGAUAGAGCGGCGGUUUCCUAAACCGUAGGUCGUGGGUUCGAGUCCCGCCGAGGACACCA
rnacentral:tRNA from 1 species